UGUAGGUGACAGAACAGUUCCCAGUAUGAAUCAUGUAGGUGACAGAACAGUUCCCAGUAUGAGGAAUCAUGUAGGUGACAGAACAGUUCCCAGUAUGAAUCAUGUAGGUGACAGAACAGUUCCCAGUAUGAGGAAUCAUGUAGGUGACAGAACAGUUCCCAGUAUGAAUCAUGUAGGUGACAGAACAGUUCCCAGUAUGAGGAAUCAUGUAGGUGACAGAACAGUUCCCAGUAUGAAUCAUGUAGGUGACAGAACAGUUCCCAGUAUGAGGAAUCAUGUAGGUGACAGAACAGUUCCCAGUAUGAAUCAUGUAGGUGACAGAACAGUUCCCAGUAUGAAUCAUGUAGGUGACAGAACAGUUCCCAGUAUGAAUCAUGUAGGUGACAGAACAGUUCCCAGUAUGAAUCAUGUAGGUGA